GCUACCGUAGUUUACUUAAAC
rnacentral:tRNA from 1 species